UGCAUAGCCGAGUUGAGAGACUGAUCGGCCACAUUGGGACUGAGACACGGCCCAAACUCCUACGGGAGGCAGCAGUAGGGAAUCUUCCACAAUGGACGCAAGUCUGAUGGAGCAACGCCGCGUGAGUGAAGAAGGUUUUCGGAUCGUAAAGCUCUGUUGUUGGUGAAGAAGGAUAGAGGUAGUAACUGGCCUUUAUUUGACGGUAAUCAACCAGAAAGUCACGGCUAACUACGUGCCAGCAGCCGCGGUAAUACGUAGGUGGCAAGCGUUGUCCGGAUUUAUUGGGCGUAAAGCGAGCGCAGGCGGAAAAAUAAGUCUAAUGUGAAAGCCCUCGGCUUAACCGAGGAAUUGCAUCGGAAACUGUUUUUCUUGAGUGCAGAAGAGGAGAGUGGAACUCCAUGUGUAGCGGUGGAAUGCGUAGAUAUAUGGAAGAACACCAGUGGCGAAGGCGGCUCUCUGGUCUGCAACUGACGCUGAGGCUCGAAAGCAUGGGUAGCGAACAGGAUUAGAUACCCUGGUAGUCCAUGCCGUAAACGAUGAGUGCUAAGUGUUGGGAGGUUUCCGCCUCUCAGUGCUGCAGCUAACGCAUUAAGCACUCCGCCUGGGGAGUACGACCGCAAGGUUGAAACUCAAAGGAAUUGACGGGGGCCCGCACAAGCGGUGGAGCAUGUGGUUUAAUUCGAAGCAACGCGAAGAACCUUACCAGGUCUUGACAUCUAGUGCAAUCUGUAGAGAUACGGAGUUCCCUUCGGGGACGCUAAGACAGGUGGUGCAUGGCUGUCGUCAGCUCGUGUCGUGAGAUGUUGGGUUAAGUCCCGCAACGAGCGCAACCCUUGUUAUUAGUUGCCAGCAUUAAGUUGGGCACUCUAAUGAGACUGCCGGUGACAAACCGGAGGAAGGUGGGGAUGACGUCAAGUCAUCAUGCCCCUUAUGACCUGGGCUACACACGUGCUACAAUGGGCAGUACAACGAGAAGCGAGCCUGCGAAGGCAAGCGAAUCUCUGAAAGCUGUUCUCAGUUCGGACUGCAGUCUGCAACUCGACCGCACGAAGCUGGAAUCGCUAGUAAUCGCGGAUCAGCACGCCGCGGUGAAUACGUUCCCGGGCC
rnacentral:rRNA from 1 species